rnacentral:lncRNA from 1 species
CUGACUGCUGAGGCAGCAAAACGUUCCUCCUCUGUUUGGGCACAAUACACUCUAACAUUGAAUACACAGAUGCACAUUUCUGCGUAAGAAAUCACCAACUGGGAUCUGCAUUUUGUUUUUGUCUAUCCAUCUGUCAAUAAAUUUACACCCCUAAGAACUGUCAAUUUUUGAACCAUUGAAUUUAAAUGAAAAGCUCACAUCGCAAUGCCUCCUAUUGUAACGACCUCGGUUAAAAUCCUUCACGUUAAUCUUAAUCCGAGCCCCUGAUCCCCUGUCUCAGCUUUACCAAGUCUAAGUGCUCAACCUCCAGUUCAGUCCCGACCCCGCCAACCCCAACUCACUCGCCGGAUCUUUCUAAGUCCUCCCACAACGCCUCCCUUCAAUCUGAGCAGUGGACCACCGAGACUGACCGGUGGACCCACGAGAUCUUUCUCCCCGAUCUCCCGCGACAGACGCACUCGAGUUGCAUGCCCGCUUCAGAGUUCCCUUGCCGCGUGGCUCAACUUCUCCGACGCCCGCCGCUCCGCCCCGUCGCCGGCCGCGACCGGAUGGAUUCUCGCGCCCCCUUCCCCAAUCGCAGCGGAAGCUCCUCUGCUACCCUUUCUGCAGCACCUCGCCGCCCGCACCCAUCAUCACCUCGCUAGACCCCCGGCUGCAGAGCCCGAUGCCACCCGUCUUUUCCGUUGCCCCUCCACAGUCGCGCCGCCCCGGUCCGCGCUACGCGAUGAUUCCUCCUCCGCCAACCCAGACCACGGCUGCGACAGCUCCUUUUCCGCCCUGUCAGAGCUCUGCCUCCGACAAUCUGUUGCUCCGCGCUCGCUCACGCGACCGCAGCCGCCUGUGUUCUCACCUGUGCGCCCUCGUUUCUAGCGUCGUUUCCCCGGUCGCUUCCAUCAAAUCCACCGCACGACGACGCCCGCCUUCGCCAAAUCUCAACCACCGACAAAACCGCGCCUGCGCCACCCCGCCUCUAGUACCCAAUGACCGCCGGUGUCAUCCCCGAAGUCCUGCUCCACCGCCCUCGUCGCUCAAUCGCCGCCCCGGCAGCGCACUCCAUCGUUCUUCCCGGUCUUCGCGCCGUCCCAACCCUCUCUCUUUUCCGCACAACUAUAAAAGGGAAUGCCAGAGCUCCGUCGGAGUUCCCCUUCGCCAUCGCUGCCCUCCCGCCUUGCUCUCUGCUCGUCGCUCAAAACGUCACCGCUUAAGCUCCUGAGGAACUCUCCUCUCCGCUCAACACCGCCCUUCCCAAUCCACCCAGCCGCUUACUCCCCCUUGCGGCGCAAAAACUUGCUUGUGGUCCACAAGAGGCACCACCGCCGCCGGAACCCGCCGGACCUCGCCGCUGUCCCAAGCCUUAGUCUUUCCGCCCAAGUCUGCUCUUUCCCGACCCCCAAGCCUCAUCCGUAAGACGAAGGUAAGUUGCAGACCCCUUGUCCGUCUCGUCCGACCCCUCCUAUCCGCCCGACCCCUGUUCAAUCUCGCUCGACCCUAUUUGUUUCGCCGACCCUUUCUCCGGCUCGCCCGAGGGCUCGGCUGCAUCCUUUUCCUAGAUCCAAGGGUAUAGGUGUAAAGACUUGGGGACUUCUCAACGUAAGUCUGAGGACCCCUAGCACAUCUAUUCCUCUAGAUGAAGGGUCUGAUCAUAAGUUCCUUCCCAUCCGACCCUCAUAUCUUGAUCUCCACCAACUCAAGCGAACCUCCCCACCCUUUCGUAACUUGCCACAAGUUUCUGGGCUCAAACUUGCAAGUGUUGCUGUUGAAAUAACCGUCUAAAUGCUAACCCAUGCAUUGUAUUCGUGUAGAGCUGCGUCUCGCCGACGGCUUCUACGAGUUGUGCCCGGCGCCAGAAGACGAAGCUGCAGCAGAGCUCCCGCCUCCAGAAGCCGAAGCCGUCCAAGCAGAAGAGCAGCUCCCCUCCUCCUUGUUUGAAGGCAAGCCCCGGAUGCAUGAAUCCCCCUAUGUUUUCCCAAACUUGCGCAUGCCUUCUUUAUCAUGCUUGUGCAUUUACGUAUAGGAGUUGUUUGGAACCGUAGAUGCAUGACUUAGUUUUUCCUUGAUCUGAACACUAGUUGUUGGACCGAGUAGAUGCUUUGCUUAAAUAGAAAACGGUAAAAGCCGAGUGAUUUCCUGCCACUCGCAAGUUGUAGGAGUUGGUUGUUUCCUCUUCUGUUACAACUAUAAAGACGAUGGACGGGGCAAGGUGUUGGGUAACUCUUUGGUGGUCGGCUGAUCGCCCCAUCUGUCUAUGAAACUUGCUAAGGCCCAACAGUGGUGGUGUUCAUGAUCAAGUGUUUGAAAGUACUAAUCUCAUACCUAGUAUGGGAUGGGGAAGCCUAGUACUUGAUUGAACUAGGGCGUGGCUUAUACCCCUGCUGUCCCUGGAACGUGGUUCCCAUGGUGCAUCAUGUGGGUGCAAGUGCGGUCACAGUACGGGAGAGGCCGGGACUGUGGAGCAUUGCAUGCCAAGGGAAGUUUGGACCUGACACGUGCCUGGGAAUUGAUGGGGACGACCGACACAGGAAGCGACCCUUGUGGUGCGCGGAUGUCAUGAGAUUAGGUUUGCCAUGCAUGGUUAAGAAACUCGAAUCGAUUCGUGUGCCUCUCACAGUUUGAAACUGCUUGAUCGCUAUGCUACCCUGAGUAAGAAAGGAAUCUGAUGAUGACAUGGUUUUGAUGAUGGUAGUUAUACACCUUCUGUUUGGUUCCAUGUUUGCUCAGAAUAAGUUGCUAACUUAGACCGGAUAAUGAACUUAGAACCUGAGCUAAAACUUGAAAUUAGGGAUACACCUAGUGCUUUUGGCAAACAAACCCCUCAGCCAAAGAGCCUUGCAUGUCUAGAAGAGGUGGAGUAGCUUCCUCCUGUCGGUUAAGUCUUGUUGAGCUUAGUAGCUCAGCCUUGUUGUGGCUCCUCUUUUUCAGGUGAAGUUGCUGCUCCUGAGCCAUCCUCUGUUGGCACUUGGCCACCCCAACUCCCUCCGGGUUGGACGGUUGAGUGGGAUCCCUCCUCGGACGGUGAGGAGAGGGAUCACUGACGUCCCGGGUGGCCUCACCAGGGAUGUCCGACCCCGACGAAGUAGCUUCUGCUUGUUGUUUUACCUUCUGUUGUUUUCUUCUAAACCUUGUAAACUCUGAUGUUGUUUUAUGGCCAAACUAAAUGGUUAAAUUGUUUAACUCAGUGGACUUGUUGUAUUCUCUGGAACCGCUCACCUUCGUGUGAGUUUGCUAUUCGGUCCUGUUCAAGUGGUUAAAUCGGAUGAAAUCCGACGGCACUUUGUGUUUACUUGGUUAAAGCAUGAGUGUCGCAUAUCAGGCGACUUAAUCAUGUUUAAUCAAGCAAAUCCGAAGUGGAUCCACCACACCUAUAUCCUCCUCAAUCAUAUUCUGGUCUUCCUAAAGUCCCAACCCCUUCCCCGCGCCCAACACCACUCGACCUGCUGCCUCGCAAACUUGCCAGCACCAUCCCCGGCGUCGACCAGGUUGGCCAACCCACUUCCUUGGCUGCCACCUACCCAGUAGCUUUCU